rnacentral:rRNA from 1 species
CAUUACCGAGUGGCCCAAGUCCGCAAGGACCGGUUACCCGACCUCUUGUCAUUUGCUCUGGGGUCGCCUGCAAGGUUCGGCCCGCACUUCCUCCAUGUGGGGUUGGGCGGGUCGCGCCGAACUGGCGGCCUCAGCUUCGAUAACUUCGGCGGAAGUGGUAGGUUCGACCUGCCCGCCGCCGGCCGUAUUCAACCUGCAAGUAAUUUUGAAGUCUGAUUUGAAUCAUAAUGAAAAGCAAAACUUUCAACAACGGAUCUCUUGGCUCUGGCAACGAUGAAGAACGCAGCGAAACGCGAAAGGUAAUGCGAAUUGCAGAAUCAGUGAGUCAUCGAAUUUUUGAACGCACAUUGCACCCCUUGGUAUUCCGGGGGGUACGCCUGUUCGAGCGCCAUCACACACCCCAAGCUCUGCUUGAUGUUGGACGAUGCCUUGGCCCUUCUGGGCCGGGGCACGUCUGGAACCCGUGGGCGCCCCCGCCGAACCACGAGCGUAGCAAGACGCAAGUCACUCGCUUCUGUCGGUCUCGGUGGAGGGUCUGCCUAAUCCAUUUCUGAAGAUUGGCCUCGGAUCAGGUGGGGAUACCCGCUGAACUUAAGCAUAUCAAUAAGCGGAGGAAAAGAAACCAACAGGGAUUGCCUCAGUAACGGCGAGUGAAGCGGCAACAGCUCAAAUUUGAAAUCUGGGGCCUUCGGCUCCCGAGUUGUAAUUUGUAGAGGAUGCCUCGGGGGGUGCUUCGGCCCAAGUUCCUUGGAACAGGAUACCACAGAGGGUGAGAGUCCCGUAUCCGGCCGGCAGUGCCCUCCGCGCGAGGCUCCUUCGACGAGUCGAGUUGUUUGGGAAUGCAGCUCUAAGCGGGUGGUAAAUUCCAUCUAAAGCUAAAUACUGGCCAGAGACCGAUAGCGAACAAGUAGAGUGAUCGAAAGAUGAAAAGCACUUUGAAAAGAGAGUCAAACAGUACGUGAAAUUGUUGAAAGGGAAGCGUAUGGGGGCAGACUUGGCCGCGGGGUUCAGGGUGUCUUUUGGCGCCUGUACUUCCCCGUGGGCAGGCCAGCAUCGGUUUUGGGGGUUGGAUAAAGGCGUCGGGA